UGGAGAAUCCCAUAGACGGAGAGGCCUGGCGGGCUACAGUCCAUAGGGUCGCACACGACUAAAGGGACUUAGCAUGAAUUCCGUGAGGAUCUAAUGGCUUGGGGAGGCCUAGGUUUUUUCAGCCUCCCCUGUGUGACUCACAUCUCUCUGCUUAUAUCUUUAUAAGAGCAUCAUGUAGAAGGAAAAGAGCCACUAACAAGCCUUGUGCUGCCAGAGGCACAUACCCCUCCCCCAGCGGGACCAACAGAAGGUUAGGGCCAGAACUAAGAGGAAAGUAAGGCUGCCCCAUCUCACAGAGGAGGAAACUGAGGCUCAGGAAGGAGCAGUGAUGUUUCCUGAUUUGACUGUGAUGUUAGCAGCAGCAGCAGCACUUUGAGAGGGUCAAAGACAAAGAUCUAAGACAUCAUUUGCAGAUGAGGAAACAGAAUCACACAGAGGGGAAGCCAUGGACCCAGGCUCCCUGGAUGGAAAACGUGUCCUGACUCUUGUUCCACUGCACCAUCCCAUCCUUCGGGAUGGGUGACAUCCCUGCAAGGCAGGCGCUUCUGACAUUCCAGAGAAAGUGCUCUGUCAAGCCUCGGCAGACACCAAGCCCAAACAUUAAGUCAGCCCAAACACUCCAUAGGAUGCUCUGGUCCCCACAAAGUGUUUGGGACUUAACAAGCAUCAGCUGAGAACCUGCUGGGUGCCAGGCAUGGGAUGUGCUUUGGUACAAGUUAUUUGAGUGAAUCUUCCCAGAAAUUUUUGGAAGGAAAAAAGCCUCCUUCCCUUUGCCAGGUGCGAAAGUGGAGGGCAGAGGGCUUCAGCUCUGGCUCAGCCCUGUCAACGGUAGGGGAGGAAGCCGCGUUUGAGCUGGGUGGCCUAACGCCUCCGUCAUCUCUCCACCACAGAGCACAGUCUCCUUCUUGCUGGUCCCCGCAGCUUCUAGCUUUGAGAAGGGGACCCUCAGCACCCUCCCCACUCACAGCCCUUCUGAACUUGACUCCACCUGACCCAGCUCUGCUACCAGGGCACCCAGGGGCCCUGGCCAGCUCCUUCCCUCUACUGUGGUCCUCUUUCCCUGUGUGCUGUAUGCUGAGUGUGGGGCCACUUUAUAUUUACAACAAUCACUUCCUUCUCUGGCCCCUCCUCCUCUGCAGGCCAGCUGUCCAGGGCUGGGGAGAAUGACUUCUCUCCAUGGGCUCUGGAAAAUGUUCCUUGGGAAUAACGGUUCAGAUGUUCACUCUCCCCAGUCACCAGCCCUGAUUUACAAACCAGAUAAAGUGUAUUUUCUUUGUGAAUCAAGAGUGGGUGGAGAGUAACCGAGCAGGAGCCCCUUCCGUUGUUGUCACGGGAUAAAACCGCUCAGCUGAAUGGGCUCUUGGACGAUCCUUGGAAGGUGGCUUAAAGCCAAGAGGAGACCUGUGGGCCUUUUUCCCUCGAGGGGUGUCUGCUCCCUCCCACAGCUUACACAUUUUUUCAUGGGCUCCACACUGCUUUCUAUCCCCGUGGAUGCCCAUCAGUUCUUGUCUGUUCUGAAGCCACCAGCCCCUCCUUGGAGUGAAGGACUUGGGCUGUGCUCACUUUUGCUUUCAGAUCUGGAUUUAAGCAUAUUAGUCAAGGGCCCACUAUGUGCCAGGCCUUGAACCAAGCACUUCCUACCUUCUCUUUUUUCAAUCUGAGGCUGAAUGCAUUAGUUCGUUUAACAAGGGAAGCCCUGAGAGUCAGCGGGAUGAGAGGCAUGGCUGGGGCUGUGAACUGGUGGGAGAGGGAGUAGAGGCUAGGACCAGCUCGACUGCUUUCUUUUCUCAUCAUUCUUGUAUUUUCCUCAUAAUCUUUUUGUUCCGUUUUACCCCAGCCUGUCUUCCACUGGUGUCUGUUGGACUGUAAAUGCCUUUUCAAUCUCUUGUGUUCGAAGUACCGUUUUUCAGUUCUUAGCACCAAGGAAGGUGAUGAUCCUAAAGACAGGCUGCAGAGAAAACCAUCCAGGACUAGGACACCAAGGUACUCGUUGCCCAAGUUUGAAGGACUCAGCAUUGAGUGUGGCCUUUAAUUUUGGCUAUAUUGCUCAAAGAAUAUUCUGGAAGCUGUUGAGUCUGAAUCUAGCCUGCUUGCCUCUCUGGGUUUAAAUCCUGGCCCUGUACAUAUAACUGUGGGACUCCAGACAAGUAAACUGCUCUGUGCUUUGGUUUCCUCAUCUGCCAGUAAGGCUGAUGGUAGCGCCUCUAUAGGGCUGUUGUAAGGAUUAAAUAAAUUUAUAUGUGUAAGAUGCACAGAACUUAGUGGUGAUUAGUGGAAGUAAGCACUAAUUAGUGGUAGCUGUGGUAGAAAUGGAUGCAUUGGGUCUGAGGAGGGGACUGGACAAUUAUUCUGGCUUUUUUUUUUUUUUUCGGCUCCUGCCAAGAUAUCCAGGGCUGGGAUCCAGAUGGGGAGCUGUGGCCUGAGGGUCCUGUCUGUCCCGUCCUCUCUUUCCUGUCUGGCUGCCUUGCCACUACUGAACUGAUCCAGGUGUGGGCAGCAGGCGUGGGCAGGGCCAUUGUGGUGAAGCUUGCAUGGCCUCUGGCCUUGAGUUCUUCUUGAAGGGAAAGGUACGAGUCAGGGAUGAUGCAGUGUGACAUGGGCUGUGAGCUGCUUCUAUAGGAGCCUAGCCCAGGCUGGGAGUGUGUAUGGGGUACCUUGGAGGGGUUGCCAAGGAGAGGUGGAAGCUCAGUUACGGACAAUGGGAGUCAGUCAGACAGAGGAGGAACAUGUAACAGAGAGUGUUGCAGGCAAAGAUAGUGGUGUCUGCAAAGCCAGAGAGCUGGACGGAGGCUUGUGGGGAGUGAGGAGUGGGGCGUGCAGAACAGCAGGCAGCAUGUAGUUCCCCCUGGCUGGGCAUCACACAUGCCAGUGUGGGUGGUGACGGUACACUGGAGAGGUGGUCAGGAAGAGGUAAGGGGGCCUUGAUAGCCACGCUAUAGAUUUUUUUUUGAUGUGAACCAUCUUUAAAGUCUUUAUGGAAUUUGUUACAAUAUUGCUUCUGUUUUAUGUUUUGGUUUUUUGGCCAGGAGGGAGGCAUAUGGGAUCUCAGCUCCCCGACCCAGGAUUGAAUCCACACUCCCUGCACUGGAAGGGGAUGUCUUCACCAUUGGACCACCAGGCGAAUCCCCAUGCUACGGAAAUUUGAUUCUACACCAAGGGCAGUGGGGACCUGGGGGUGGGGCUGUGGUAGGUGAAUUGAAUGAUCUUAUUCCUGCUUUAGGAACAUCACAGCUGGAAAGGAUGAAAGGGAGAAGACCAGCUUGGAUUCAUGGGAUCAUCCUAGAGCUGCUGUUUCAUCUAGGAAGAAGGAAAUGGUGACUUGACCCAGAGUAGUGUCUGGGGAUAGAAGGGGACAGACAGAUUUAACAGUCAUUUAGUGCUUCGUGACUGAAUGAAUGUGUUAGUAAUUGCAAGGAAGAGGAAAGGCUCAAGAAUGACAGCUCUCUGCAACAUUCCCACCAAGGUUUGCCCAGCCUCCUCUUGCAUACCUCCAGUCAUGGGCAGCUCACUACCUAGUUGUUUAGCAUUUAGUAGUUACCUACUUUAGUUUAAAUCUGUCCAGAUGUGCAUCUUAAAGCUGCAAAAGCAAACAUAAACCUCAUUCACUAGUAGCUUUCCAGGCAUGUGAAGGCAGUUUAGCGGACACACACUCCUCUUUUUACUGCCUUCGUCAUUUUUGUUGUUGUUGUUAGUGUGAAUGUUCUCAGAUUUCUCCCUCUAAUGCGGACAUUACAUCCUCUUCUAUUUUUGGCAAACAAGAAUAUCGAAUAAUAAAUUUGCAAAAAGAGCUACAGUC